rnacentral:rRNA from 1 species
GACGAACGCUGGCGGCGUGCUUAACACAUGCAAGUCGAACGAAGUGGCGAACGGGUGUGUAACGCGUAAUCAACCUGCCCUUCAGAGGGGGACAACAGUUGGAAACGACUGCUAAUACCGCAUACUGAAGGAGGGGAUUGCGUCUGAUUAGCUAGUUGGAGGGGUAACGGCCCACCAAGGCGAUGAUCAGUAGGCGGUCCUGGAGGAUGAACGGGCAAAUUGGGACUGGGACACGGGCCAGACUCCUACGGGAGGGAGGAGGGGGGAAUCUUCCGCAAUGGAAGAAAGGCUGACGGAGCAAAGGCGGGGGAGGGAGGACGGGCUUCGGGUUGGAAAGAUCUGUUAAUCGGGACGCGGUACCGGAAUAGAAAGCCACGGCUAACUACGUGCCAGCAGCCGCGGUAAUUC